ACGGAAGGCAGCAGUGAGGAAUAUUGGUCAAUGGGCGCGAGCCUGAACCAGCCAAGUAGCGUGAGGGAUGACUGCCCUAUGGGUUGUAAACCUCUUUUGUUUGGGAAUAAAGGAGACUACGUGUAGUCUUUUGCAUGUACCUUACGAAUAAGCAUCGGCUAAUUCCGUGCCAGCAGCCGCGGUAAUACGGAAGAUGCGAGCGUUAUCCGGAUUUAUUGGGUUUAAAGGGAGCGUAGGCGGGCUGUUAAGUCAGCGGUCAAAUGUCAGGGCCCAACCUUGGCAUGCCGUUGAUACUGGCGGCCUUGAAUACACGCAAGGUAAGUGGAAUUCGUCGUGUAGCGGUGAAAUGCUUAGAUAUGACGAAGAACUCCGAUUGCGAAGGCAGCUUACUGGAGUGCGAUUGACGCUGAGGCUCGAAAGUGCGGGAAUCAAACAGGAUUAGAUACCCUGGUA
rnacentral:rRNA from 1 species